rnacentral:tRNA from 1 species
GUGGUUGUAAUUCAGUGGUUUAGAAUACGUGGUUGUGGUCCGCGAAACGGGAGUUCGAUUCUCCCCUUCCACC